AGGCGAACCGGGGGAACUGAAACAUCUAAGUACCCCGAGGAAAAGAAAUCAACCGAGAUUCCCCCAGUAGCGGCGAGCGAACGGGGAGCAGCCCAGAGCCUGAAUCAGUGUGUGUGUUAGUGGAAGCGUCUGGAAAGGCGCGCGAUACAGGGUGACAGCCCCGUACACAAAAAUGCACAUGCUGUGAGCUCGAUGAGUAGGGCGGGACACGUGGUAUCCUGUCUGAAUAUGGGGGGACCAUCCUCCAAGGCUAAAUACUCCUGACUGACCGAUAGUGAACCAGUACCGUGAGGGAAAGGCGAAAAGAACCCCGGCGAGGGGAGUGAAAAAGAACCUGAAACCGUGUACGUACAAGCAGUGGGAGCACGCUUAGGCGUGUGACUGCGUACCUUUUGUAUAAUGGGUCAGCGACUUAUAUUCUGUAGCAAGGUUAACCGAAUAGGGGAGCCGAAGGGAAACCGAGUCUUAACUGGGCGUUAAGUUGCAGGGUAUAGACCCGAAACCCGGUGAUCUAGCCAUGGGCAGGUUGAAGGUUGGGUAACACUAACUGGAGGACCGAACCGACUAAUGUUGAAAAAUUAGCGGAUGACUUGUGGCUGGGGGUGAAAGGCCAAUCAAACCGGGAGAUAGCUGGUUCUCCCCGAAAGCUAUUUAGGUAGCGCCUCGUGAAUUCAUCUCCGGGGGUAGAGCACUGUUUCGGCAAGGGGGUCAUCCCGACUUACCAACCCGAUGCAAACUGCGAAUACCGGAGAAUGUUAUCACGGGAGACACACGGCGGGUGCUAACGUCCGUCGUGAAGAGGGAAACAACCCAGACCGCCAGCUAAGGUCCCAAAGUCAUGGUUAAGUGGGAAACGAUGUGGGAAGGCCCAGACAGCCAGGAUGUUGGCUUAGAAGCAGCCAUCAUUUAAAGAAAGCGUAAUAGCUCACUGGUCGAGUCGGCCUGCGCGGAAGAUGUAACGGGGCUAAACCAUGCAC
rnacentral:rRNA from 1 species